UACGAACGCUGGCGGCGUGCUUAACACAUGCAAGUCGAACGGAAAGGCCCCUUCGGGGGUACUCGAGUGGCGAACGGGUGAGUAACACGUGAGUAACCUGCCCUUGACUUCGGGAUAACUUCAGGAAACUGGGGCUAAUACCGGAUAGGAAUCCUUGCUGCAUGGUGGGGGUUGGAAAGCUUCGGCGGUUUUGGAUGGACUCGCGGCUUAUCAGCUUGUUGGUGGGGUAGUGGCUUACCAAGGCUUUGACGGGUAGCCGGCCUGAGAGGGCGACCGGCCACAUUGGGACUGAGAUACGGCCCAGACUCCUACGGGAGGCAGCAGUGGGGAAUAUUGCACAAUGGGCGGAAGCCUGAUGCGGCAACGCCGCGUGCGGGAUGACGGCCUUCGGGUUGUAAACCGCUUUCAGCAGGGGCGAAGCUUGUGGUGACGGUACCCGCAGAAGAAGCACCGGCUAACUACGUG
rnacentral:rRNA from 1 species